GAUGAACGCUGGCGGCGUGCCUAAUACAUGCAAGUCGAGCGAACGGACGAGAAGCUUGCUUCUCUGAUGUUAGCGGCGGACGAGUGAGUAACCCGUGGAUAACCUACCUAUAAGACUGGGAUGACUUCGGGAGACCGUAGCUCAUAUCGGAUAAUAUUUUGAACCGCAUGGUUCAUAGGUGAACGACGUUCUUGCUGUCCCUUAUAGAUGGAUCCGCGCUGCAUUAGCUAGUUGGUAAGGUAUCGGCUUACCAAGGCAACGAUGCAUAGCCGACCUGAGAGGGGGAUCGGCCACACUGGAACUGAGACACGGUCCAGACUCCUACGGGAGGCAGCAGUAGGGAAUCUUCCGCAAUGGGCGAAAGCCUGACCGAGCAACGCCGCGUGAGUGAUGAAGGUCUUCGGAUCGUAAAACUCUGUUAUUGGGGAAGAAAAUAUGUGUAAGUAACUGUGCACAUCUUGACGGUACCCAAUGAGAAAGCCACGGCUAACUACGUG
rnacentral:rRNA from 1 species